GAUGAACGCUGGCGGCGUGCCUAAUACAUGCAAGUCGAGCGAACGGACGAGAAGCUUGCUUCUCUGAUGUUAGCGGCGGACGGGUGUGUAACACGUGGUCAACCUACCUUUAAGACUGGGAUAACUUCGGGAAACCGGCGCUAAUACCGGAUAAUAUUUUGAACCGCAUGGUUCAAAAGUGAAAGACGGUCUUGCUGUUACUUAUAGAUGGAUCCGCGCUGCACUAGCUAGUUGGGAAGGUAACGGUUUACCAAGGCAACGAUGGAUAGCCGACCUGAGAGAGUGAACAUCCACCCAGCACCUGAGGCACGGUGGAGACUCGUGGAGGUAGCAGCCGUCGGAAAACUUCCGGAAGGGGCGAGAGCCUGACGGGGGACCACCGCGUGACUGAUGAAGGUCUUCAGAUCAUAAAACUCUGUUAUCAGGGAAGGACAUAUGUGUAAGUACCUGUGCACAUCUUGACGGUGCCUUGUCAGAGAGCCACGGCUAACUGCGUG
rnacentral:rRNA from 1 species